rnacentral:rRNA from 1 species
AGAGUUUGAUCCUGGCUCAGAACGAACGCUGGCGGCAGGCCUAACACAUGCAAGUCGAACGCCGUAGCAAUACGGAGUGGCAGACGGGUGAGUAACACGUGGGAACAUACCCUUCGGUUCGGAAUAACUCAGGGAAACUUGAGCUAAUACCGGAUACGUCCGCAAGGAGAAAGAUUUAUUGCCGAAGGAUUGGCCCGCGUCUGAUUAGCUUGUUGGUGAGGUAAUGGCUCACCAAGGCGACGAUCAGUAGCUGGUCUGAGAGGAUGAUCAGCCACAUUGGGACUGAGACACGGCCCAAACUCCUACGGGAGGCAGCAGUGGGGAAUAUUGGACAAUGGGCGAAAGCCUGAUCCAGCCAUGCCGCGUGAGUGAUGACGGCCUUAGGGUUGUAAAGCUCUUUU